UCCGGCGUAGCUCAGUUGGUAGAGCGGGUGACUGUUAAUCACUUGGUCGCAGGUUCGAGUCCUGCCGCCGGAGCCA
rnacentral:tRNA from 1 species